ensembl:lncRNA
UUUUUUAAGUCUUCAUUGUAAUAGCUGCUGUCUCUUCUCCAUACCAGUUACAGAAUCACAGAAUCACCAAAUGUCAGGGUUUGGAAGGAGCCUUGAAAGAUCAUGUUGUCCAAUCCUCCCGCUUUAGCCGGAAUGCCUUGAUUAGGUCACUCAGGAAUGUGUCCAGGCAGGUUUUGAAUGUCUCCAGAGAAGGAGACUCCACAACCUCUCUGGGCAGCCCGUUGCAGUGUUCUGUUACCCUCACCAUGAAGAAUUUCUUCUCAUAUUUUUGUGGAACCUCCUAUGUUCCAGCUUGCAGCCAUUACCCCUUGUCCUAUCACUGGAUGUCACUGGGAAGAGCCUGGCUCCAUCCUUCUGAUGCACACCCUUUGCAUAUUUAUAAAUGUUAAUGAGGCCACUUCUCAGUCUCCUCCAAGCUAAAGUGACCCAUCUUGACAUGCGGAAAUCAGACCCUGUAGCCGGCUGUUCUGUUUCCACUUUAAUUCUGAAGGACUUCACACCUUUACCAUACACAUCAAUGUUAGCCUUCCUUCUCAGUGUUUCAGAAAGACUUCUUUC